AUUGAACGCUGGCGGAAUGCUUUACACAUGCAAGUCGAACGGUAGAGGGGGCAACCCCUCGAGAGUGGCGAACGGGUUAGUAAUAUAUCGGAACGUGCCCCGUCGUGGUGGAUAACGUAGCGAAAGUUACGCUAAUACCGCAUACGAUCUAAGGAUGCAAGCGGGGGCACGCAAGACCUCGCGCGAUUGGAGCGGCCGAUAUCAGAGUAGGUGGGUUGUGGGGUAAUGGCUCACCAAGCCAACGAUCUGUAGCUGGUCUGAGAGGACGACCAGCCACACUGGAACUGAGACACGGUCCAGACUCCGACGGGAGGCAGCAGUGGGAAAUUUUGGACAAUGGACGCAAGUCUUAUCCAGCCAUUCCGCGUGCAGGAUGAAGGCCCUCGGGUUGUAAACUGCUUUUGUACGGAACGAAAAGGUCUCUCUUAAUACGGGGGGCUCAUGACGGUACCGUAAGAAUAAGCACCGGCUAACUACGUGCCAGCAGCCGCUGUAA
rnacentral:rRNA from 1 species